GUCCUGGCCUUAACGAUGGAUGCUUGGUGUCUGGGUUUAUAGUCCCGGGUGCCGUAGCUAACGCGUUAAGCAUCCCGCCUGGGAGUACGGUCGCAAGACUGAACUCAAAGGAAUUGACGGGACCCGCACAAGCGGUGGAGCAUGUGGUUCAAUUCGACGCAACGCGAAGAACCUUACCUGGGCUAGAAUGCCUCUGACAACUCCAGAGAUGGAGCCUCUUAGGGAAACUUAGGCAGAGUGCAAGGUGCUGCAUGGCUGUCGU
rnacentral:rRNA from 1 species